CUGUUUCUCUACAAUGUUAACAUAGCAAUAAUUGUCAUAACUGGUAUUACAUCAGUAAUUUUGGUAGGUGCUUUAUUGCCCAGCAGGACUUUAAUAUUCCCAUACUUAGAAACAUUUUUUGUUCAUUCUUAGCAUACUCAGUGGUACAAUACAGUAGUGUUGCAUCUGCUAUCUAUGCCAAGCAAAAAAUACAUGGCUUUGAUUUCCUUUUGAGAAGAAUCGGCUAACCUCACUUUCAUCAGUGAUGUGGAACAGGUCAAACAGGACUUGUCAAAGAAAUCAGAAAGCAUUUGGUGACUUCACAACUGUCAUCAAAGAUUCAGAAAAAUAACUUACCUGUACGGCGUCUGAGGUCACAUGAGUCCCAGAGUUGUUCUUCUCAUCUCCAAACGGACACUGAGCUUCCAUCUAGCAAAAGGAAAGCUCCCCCUGACUCUGUUGUGCGGGAAAGACUUUUAAUUUUGUUUAAUCCCCGUCCUUUACCUCAGGACAUAUUGGAUGAUGUAUUAAGCCGAUUUGGAAAUUUUAUAAAUGUUUAUAUUGUUCCUGGAGAAAACAUAGCUUAUGCGAUGUUUGCAGACAGAGCAACUGCUGGUGAUGCUAUAGCUGUGCUCCACGGGAAGACUGUGAAUGGUGUGAAGUUAAAGGUGAUACUAGCAGAUUUGCCCACACAGUACUCCAGCAAACGGCAACGGAUAGCCUAACCAGGCAGAAUAGAGAAGAACAACAGGACUAACAAAUUUGCUAAGGAUGGUGACAAAACUUUUUUGUGUGCAACUGAUCAAUCAGCUCACAUCGGUGAAAAAACAAAAAUAAACAUUUUUGUAAAGAAGCAAUCAGCCUAAGCUGAAUUUGUAAAACGUGGUGUUUGCUGAAUUUAUGCUUCUAAUAUGGAAAAGUCUCACUAAAGAAUUAAACUCUAUAUAUAUUAGCAACCAACAAAAUGAUUAAUGCCUAAUAUAUA